CAAUAGCGUAUAUUAAAGUUGUUGCAGUUAAAAAGCUCGUAGUUGGAUUUGUGGCUGUCACGGGCGGCCUAUCACUUAGUGUUAGUGCUUGCCUGUGUCGCCAUCCUUGGGUGGAGCCCGUGUGGCAUUAGGUUGUCGUGCGGGGGAUGCCCAUCGUUUACUGUGAGAAAAUUAGAGUGUUCAAAGCAGGCUUAUGCCAUUGAAUAUGUUAGCAUGGAAUAAUAAGAUAGGACCUCGGUACUAUUUUGUUGGUUUGCGCACCGAGGUAAUGAUUAAUAGGGACAGUUGGGGGUAUUCGUAUUUCAUUGUCAGAGGUGAAAUUCUUGGAUUUCUGAAAGACGAACUACUGCGAAAGCAUUUACCAAGGAUGCUUUCAUUAA
rnacentral:rRNA from 1 species